GGAUUGAUGAUGAGAACUCAUACUGUCUCAAAGUGACAUGAUGAUUUAAAACUCACGCUCAAUAGGAUUACACUGAGGCUC